AUUUUAAUAGCUUAUUUUAUAAAAGCAUAAUAUUGAAGAUAUUAAGAAAGUAAUUUUACUUUAAAAUA
rnacentral:tRNA from 1 species